rnacentral:rRNA from 1 species
UACGUAGGGGGCAAGCGUUGUCCGGAUUUAUUGGGCGUAAAGAGCGUGUAGGCGGUCUGGUAGGUCCGUUGUGAAAACUCGAGGCUCAACCUCGAGACGCCGAUGGAAACCAUCAGACUAGAGUCCGGAAGAGGAGAGUGGAAUUCCUGGUGUAGCGGUGAAAUGCGCAGAUAUCAGGAGGAACACCGGUGGCGAAGGCGGUUCUCUGGGCCUUACCUGACACUGAGGAGCGAAAGCGUGGGGGAGCGAACAGG